rnacentral:rRNA from 1 species
AGUACAGACGUAGUUUGAUCCUGGCUCAGGACAACGCUGGCGGUGUGCUUCACACAUGCAAGUCGAACGAGGUAGCAAUACCUAGUGGCGGACGGGUGAGUAACGCGUGGGAAUCUGCCUUUAGAUGGGGGAUAACGGGUCGAAAGACUCGCUAAUACCGCAUAUGACGAAAGUUGAAAGGAGCAAUCCGUCUAAAGAUGAGCCCGCGUCCGAUUAGCUAGUUGGUAGAGUAAAAGCCUACCAAGGCGACGAUCGGUAGCUGGUCUGAGAGGAUGAUCAGCCACAAUGGGACUGAGACACGGCCCAUACUCCUACGGGAGGCAGCAGUGGGGAAUUUUACGCAAUGGGCGAAAGCCUGACGUAGCGACACCGCGUGAGCGAAGAAGCCCCUUGGGGUGUAAAGCUCUGUCAGCUGGAACGAAAAAAAUGACGGUACCAGCAGAGGAAGCAUCGGCUAACUACGUG